GUUGGCAUAGAAUUUCCCCAUCUUAUAAAACCCAGCGGGUUUUUUGGGGUUUUUUCAAAAAUAGCAAAUUUUCAGUUGAAUGAACGUCAUAUUUAUUUCUGAAUAAAAACAAAAACUAGCAUAAAUACCAUGAAGUAAGUAGUAGGUGAAUACAAAACGAGAGAAACUGAAACUAAACUAAUAAAACACUUAUUUUAAACAUGGUAUAUAGACAAAUAAAAAAAUAAACAAGUUUCUUGUUAAACAAAGCAUCAGCAAA
rnacentral:lncRNA from 1 species